ensembl:snRNA U6 U6 spliceosomal RNA
CUGCUUGCUUUGGCAGCAUGUUUACUAAAAUUGGAAUACUACAGAGAAGAUAAGCAUGGCCCCUGCAAAUUCGAGAAACGUUUUGUAUUUUU